rnacentral:rRNA from 1 species
GGGGAAUAUUGGACAAUGGGCGCAAGCCUGAUCCAGCCAUGCCGCGUGAGUGAUGAAGGCCUUAGGGUUGUAAAGCUCUUUUAGCAGGGACGAUAAUGACGGUACCUGCAGAAAAAGCCCCGGCCAACUUCGUGCCAGCAGCCGCGGUAAUACGAAGGGGGCUAGCGUUGCUCGGAAUCACUGGGCGUAAAGCGCACGUAGGUGGGUCGUUAAGUCGGGGGUGAAAUCCCAGAGCUCAACUCUGGAACUGCCUUCGAUACUGGCGACCUUCGAGUACGGGAGAGGUGAGUGGAACUGCGAGUGUAGAGGUGAAAUUCGUAGAUAUUCGCAAGAACACCAGUGGCGAAGGCGGCUCACUGGCCCGAUACUGACACUGAGGUGCGAAAGCGUGGGGAGCAAAC